rnacentral:rRNA from 1 species
GCGAGCGAAGUAGAGGGGAAAGAGUAGGGGCACAACAACGAGCAGCGGCGGUCUAGAGCAGAGCAGGGUAGCGCGGGGCAAGGUCACCUCGAGGUGGCGGUCUAGUACGGCUACACUUCGGUUCAGCAACCACGGGGCAAGGUCAAGAUCUGAGGUCAGAUCUGGGGUCUAGACCUCGCGGCGGCGGCCUAGGACGGUGCCUGCACAGUUGGCUGGCGGCGUCCUUGGUAGGAGCGGCUGAGGGCUGGUUUUGGCCCGGUCGUAAAAGACAGAUAACAAAAAACUCCUCCGACCAACUAUAAUACCUAUUAGAUGUUAACAUAUAUUUAACUACUCUUAGCCAACUUCCCUAACUCCACCCUGUUUUUUAGUUUGUAUUAGUUGCGUACUGGUCU